UGACAGAUGAGAUGUUUGACCAUAGUGCAUAGCGCCACGUGUGAUGAAAACCAAAUUGCAAAUCAGCACAAACACCAACUUUCAAGCAUGGUGAUGGAGGGGGGAUGAUUUGGGCAUAUUUUGCAGCCACAGGACCUGGAAACCUUGUAGUCAUUGAGUCGACCAUGAACUCCUCUGUUUACCAAAGUAUUCUAGAGUCAAAUAUGAGACCAUCUGUACGGCAGGUUAAGCUUGGCCUAAAUCGGGCAGAACUUCAAAUGCCGUUUCAAACAAACAUAUUUGGCCAUUGUGCUAGUCAACUGCUUGAUUAUACACCCGUGUGAUGCUUCAGAGAUAUGGAAUUUGUCUAAACAGCCAAUCGGUCUAGAUUCAGACAAAUAGCAAAUCAGUUGAAAUUGAAAGUAUAAGUCUCAGAAAAAGUAACGUAAAAUGGUAUGCAAGUAAUCUCAACUGCC